ACGCUCGACACCUACGGGGGGCAGCAGUGGGGAAUAUUGCACAAUGGGGGAAACCCUGAUGCAGCGACGCCGCGUGAGCGAAGAAGUAUUUCGGUAUGUAAAGCUCUAUCAGCAGGGAAGAAACUGACGGUACCUGACUAAGAAGCACCGGCUAAAUACGUGCCAGCAGCCGCGGUAAUCUGAGGCGGCGUGGCAAGGC
rnacentral:rRNA from 1 species